rnacentral:rRNA from 1 species
AUGGCGGAGGCAGGCGGCGUUGGGCGCAGCGGCGAGGAUGAUCAGGGCGGGGAGGAGGAGCGCGGAGGGGGAGCGGCCGCGGCGGAGGUGCAAGUGUACUGCGCGGUGGGGAAGGAGGCCGGGAAGGAAUGGAGGGCGAACCUGCGGUGGGUGCUGGCCAACUUCCCCCGGAGCCGCCACCGCCUCGUCCUCGCCCACGUCCACCGCCCGCCGCACCGCAUCAACAUGAUGGGGGCGUGGGUCCCAGUGAGCCAACUUGCGGAGCACGAGGUGGCCGCGUACAGCAAGCUGGAGGAGGAGAGGGCCACCAAAGCCCUCGACGUCCUCAUCGACAUCUGCGCAAGUCAACGGGUCCACGCGCGCAAGGUCAUUGUGUCGGGGGACGACGCCGCGAGGGGCCUGGUCCAGCUCGUCGACGACCAUGGCGUUGCCGAGCUCGUCAUGGGCGCCGCCGCUGACCGGGGAUACACCAGGAAGUUGCGGGCGCCCAAGUGUAAGAAGGCGGUGACGGUGCAGCGGAAGGCCAACCCCUCUUGCAGGAUCUGGUUCGUCUGCAAAGGAAACCUCAUCUGCACUAGGGAGGUCAGCCAGGAGCUGAACAGAGCAGAGCCAUCCACGGCUAGCUCCAGCCCCAGAUCGGUCGCUUCUGACUACUCGAGAUCGAAAUCGUCCCCGCCGCGCCUGACCAUCCACGGGGACGGUGACGGCGAGCUGUUGGGGAUGCACCACGACUCGCCCGAUCCGAUGAUGGCGGCGUCGCUCCGCCGGACUCCGAGCAGGGACGACAGCGACAAUGCCACGGAUCACAGCAUCGAGGAUUUCGCUCAUGAGGGAGCCGCUGAAGGUGGGUCGUCGGCUGUCGUGCAGUUACUGCAAGAUGUCGAAGAAGACCCGCCGACGCCUUCGCACGAUGGUUCAGCUUCGGAGGAGGCUGGCGACAUGGAAGAUGCUUUGUACGAGAAGCUCAAAGACGCGAUUAUGGAGGCUGGGAGCCUCAGGCACGAGGCGUACGAAGAGACUCGCCGGCGGCAGAAGGCCGACCGGGACCUGGCCAACGCGUCCAUGAUGGCGAGGGACGCAGAGAGCUCCUACCAUGGCGAGGCGAGGCGCCGGAAGGAGAUGGAGGAGAGUCUGGCGAGGGAGCGCGCGGCCAUGGAGCAGGAAAGGCGGGACCUGGACGCCCUUCUCGAGAAGAUACGGGAGGUUGAUGACCGCAGCGCCGAGCUCGAGCUCCAGAUCACCGACUCAGGGCGCGUGAUGAGCGAGCUCGAUGUCAGGAUGUCGGAGUCGUGCUCUGUCCUCGACGCGCUCAGGCGGGAGCGCCGAGGAGAAGGGCCUGCGGCUGACGAAGAAUCCAUGCCUGCGGUGGACGAUGGUGAUCAAAGUGUGAGUUUCUUGCGGCUUGGUUUGUCGGAGCUGGAGGAGGCGACCGAUCGUUUCGACGAGUCUGCCGUGAUAGGAGGCGCCCGUGCCGGCAGCCGCGGCCGCGUGUACAGAGGGAGCCUCCGCGGCAUGAGCGUCGCCGUCAAGAUGAUCUGCCCCGACGUCGCCGUCGACGAGGCGCCGUUCGGUCGUGCAGUGGACGCCAUCGCCAGGGCGAGGCACCCAAACAUCGUCGCGCUCGUCGGCGCGUGCCCGGGGGCGCGCGCCGUAGUGCACGAGCUCGUGCCGGGCGGGAGCUUGGAGGACCGUCUUGGAAGAGAGGCGCCGCCACUGCCAUGGCACGCGCGGUGCGGCACCGCGUACCGAACCUGCUCCGCCCUGGCCUACCUCCACUCGACGGCAACAGUGCAUGGCGACGUCCGGCCAGAGAAUAUCCUCCUGGAGGACGAGCGGUGCUCCUCCAGCAAGCUCGCCGGCCUCGGCAUGCCUGGUCUCGUGGCGUCGCCACAGCUCCCGACCGGCGUGGCGCUGCCGUAUGUGGAGCCGCGGUACCUGGCGACGGGGGAGCUGACCCCGCAGUGCGACGUGCAUGCGCUGGGCGUGGUCCUCCUCCGCCUGGUGACGGGCAUGCCGGCGUUCGCGGCGAAGAAGGCGGCGCAGAAGGCCGCCGACGGGAGCACGCCCUGGCACGAGGUGGUGGACGCGACUGCCGGAGGGUGGCCGAUGGAGCGCGCCACGGAGGUCGCGCUCCUCGGGUUGAAAUGCUGCGACGCGGUCGAAGCCGGAGGACCACGCCGCGCGGCCGAGCUUCUGGAUGAGGCGCUGAGCGUGCUGGAGGCCGCGACGGACGCCACGCCGGGGAGGACGUGGUCGUCGCUCUCGGCGUCGACGGCGUCCGACAGCGGCGGCGCUCCGUCCUACUUCCUCUGCCCGAUACUCAAGGAGGUGAUGAGGGAUCCGCAGAUCGCCGGCGACGGGUUCACCUACGAGGCGGAGGCGAUGAAGGAGUGGCUCGGGAGCGGACACGACACGUCGCCGAUGACCAACAUCAAGCUUCCCACCGAGGAGCUCAUGCCCAACCACGCACUCCGGGCCGCCAUACAAGAGUGGCGACACACGAGGCCUAUCACCUUCCAUCGGUACCAAUUAUAG